AGGUGCUGCAUGGCUGUCGUCAGGCUCGUGUCGUGAGAUGUUGGGGUUAAGUCCCGCAACGAGCGCAACCCUUGUCAUUAGUUGCUACAUUCAGUUGGGCACUCUAAUGAGACUGCCGGUGACAAGCCGGAGGAAGGUGGGGAUGACGUCAAGUCCUCAUGGCCCUUAUAGGUGGGGCUACACACGUCAUACAAUGGCUGGUACAAAGGGUUGCCAACCCGCGAGGGGGAGCUAAUCCCAUAAAGCCAGUCGUAGUCCGGAUCGUAGUCUGCAACUCGACUACGUGAAGUCGGAAUCGCUAGUAAUCGUGGAUCAGAAUGUCACGGUGAAUACGUUCCCGGGUCUU
rnacentral:rRNA from 1 species